UUUACUACAAUGUAGAGAGCUUUUCGGUAGUGGCAGGGAUUCUCUUGAACCGUUGGUGGCGUGAACUUAGAGAGCUAGAAAGAGUGAAAUAUUCUUGCACAUUACAACUCAACUGUGAUGGAAAGAUUGAUGUUGUUGGAGGCUAUUUGAUUGGUGUUCUAGACGUUGCAAGGUUGGAAAACUUUUCGUUAGUGAGAUACCGUUGCGGGAGAUAGAGCUAGUGGCUGACGAGUUUGUUCGAGUGGAUCUUAUUGCUGAAGUGAGCCACCGCAUUGUUCGUGAAGGCGUUCGAUUCAGACUUACCUAAUUCAUAUACCGUUGCGGGAGAUAGAGCUAGUGGCUGACGAGUUUGUUUGAGUGGAUCCUAUUGCUGAAGUGAGUCAUCGCAUUGUUCGUGGAGGCUUUCGAUUCAGACUUACCUAGUUCAUGUUAGUUAUUUUCUUUUUUUCUUUGGGGUUUGCAUACCCGUCAAUAAAACUCAUAUUACUCUGUUAGAUGCUCUAUGGUCUUAAUGUGAGAUUUGUGCUAGAGUUUUAUUAUUUGAGUGAUUGUUGGUUUUCCUAUCAAUUGACUAAGGUAUUGGGCGAUAAUUAUUUUCUCUUUAAUUAUUAAUAAUACUAUUAGGCCUGCAUCUUUUUCUCUUAGUGUUUGUGUAAAUGGUCAAACGUUAGAGAAAGGGGUUCGCCUGGCAGGUAGUGUUAGUUGGGUGUCAGUCACGUAUAGGGGGUAGUUUGGGACGUGACAAACUAUUUAUGGAAAAGCUUUUUGAAUGAUUUCGUUGUAAACUAUAUUGUAAGUUGAAUGAUCAUCAUCACUAUCUGUUG